CUAUAAUCUGUGUGCUCCAAUCUGCUGCACAAGAAAGAAGAACGUCUUCACUCUCACAAUUUUGAUAAAGGCUGGAAGUGAGGCAGGGAAGAGGACCUGUGAUGAAAUCUUAACUGUCAUUUGCAGACAGGGAUUGCCCCUCAGCUGGGAGACUAUUUUGUGAAUACUUUCACACGGAUGGUGAGGUAAGAAUAUGGCUCCACCAAGAAGGAUCUUUCCACAGUGUCAGCUGAGUCAGAUAACAAGCUCCCUAAGGAGUCCAUCCCUCCCAGGCAAUACUUUCCUGUUCCUCCUGCAUUUGGAAGACUUCCUAGCCCAAGGUUGGAGGAAUUGUGCUCAUGUCUUGUUCCACCUGCAAAAAGGUAUUGAAGUGGAAAAAACCUCCAUUUUACUCUGUCCUUCAUCUCUGAAGCACAUCAAAGCCUGAGUGAAUUCUCUGUGUGAACGGAGGAAGAGAAGCACCGGAUGACAGUAUUGGGCUGCUAUUUAGACAAAGUAGAAGAGGAAUAGGUCUGAACCAUCAGCCUGUACUUGGCUUAUGUCUAAAUUCACUGUUCAACAGGAACACAGCUGCAAAAACUUAUAUGGACACAUUUGCUUGGGAAGGUAACCAACCACCAUGGACUCCUUUAUCAUUUGCUGUCAAAAGAAGAGAUGGAGCUUAUCCUAAGGAAGUAAAAAGGAAAGACCUAAAUAUUAAAAGUAGGUGCUAAAUAGAGAGCUGACAUGAGUUCAUCCUCCAAAGGGUACCAGAUUGCCCAAAAAGAUAGUUCUCAGCAUCAGUAGAAAUCAUGGAUAUGUCAGAUAAUGGAAAUGGUCUUCACUGGGAACUACAACUUCCAGUUUUCCAGUUGACAAUAUGAGUUGAAUACUUGGGUAAUUUACUUGAUAUUUUAUUGACAAAUUAUUUUUACAUAUCUAGUAAAUCAAAAUUUUUCUCUGAAGUUUUGAGCUAUUAUUUCUAAUCCUUGUGAUAUACCCCAAGUAAUAAAAACACUUUUUGAAGUCA